rnacentral:snoRNA from 13 species
AUGUACGGUUAACACCCAUGUGUGCUUUUUUUUUGUAGCUCCCAUGGAUUUUACUCUGUAAUAUAGUAAAGUGUUGUCUGUAACCUCUGCAUUGGAGGAGUUGCAUUCUCCUCCACAUGUAUUCAGUAGACCAGUACAUCU